UUUGAUUGCCUGCGCUUUGUUUUAUUUUAACUUGGAAUGCCAUUAGCUGCUACAAACGCUUUAAGUAUACAAACAACGACAGGAUGUCACACCGUAUCAUUGUUGCAGUUAUGCUAGUUUUGGUUGCAAGUAUUUUGUCGGACGCCCAGCCUGGGACAUGGCCCAUAGAACAGUCGACAAACCUUCGAAGACGAUGGACGGGCGAUGAAGUUCAAUUGAAAAUAAAUCGUAAGAGUGACAAGCUGUUCCAAGCGAUUUACGCCGACGAUGAAUCAAACCAUUAACCAUACUGAAGAACUACUACUUUCUCUUUAUAUGCUGUGUUUCUUUUGACUAAUAAACGAAUAUCCAGACCCACUA